rnacentral:rRNA from 1 species
AUUGAACGCUGGCGGCAGGCCUAACACAUGCAAGUCGAGCGCGCCGCCGACGGGUGCGCAAUGUACGGGGAUCUGCCCCAGAGAGGGGGAUCCCUACUCGACACGGUCGCUAAUCCCGCAUACUCUCAGACGAACCCAUAUGGGAUUAGCUAGUAGGGGGGGAAACGGCUCACCUAGGCCGCGCUCUCUCGCUGGUCUGAGAGGAUGAUAAGCCACACUGGGACUUAGACACGGCCCAGACUCCGACGGGAGGCAGCAGUGGGGAAUAUUGCACAAUGGGCGCAAGCCUGAUGCAGCCAUGCCGCGUGUAUGAAGAAGGCCUUGGGGUUGUAAAGUACUUUCAGCGGGGAGGCGUUACCCGCAGAAGAAGCACCGGCUAACUCCGUGCCAGCAGCCGCGGUAAUUC